rnacentral:rRNA from 1 species
UACGGAGGGUGCAAACGUUGUCCGGAAUCACUGGGCGUAAAGAGCAUGUAGGUUGUUUAGUAAGUGGGCGAAUUAAAGACCGGAUGCUUAACAUCGGGACUGUUACCUAUACUACUUAACUAGAGAAUGACAGGGGUAAGCGGAACUUUAGGUGUAGGAGUGAAAUCCGUAGAUAUCUAAAGGAACACCAAUGGCGAAGGCAGCUUACUGGGUCUUUCUGACACUGAGAUGCGAAGGCGUGGGGAGCAAACGGG